rnacentral:rRNA from 1 species
AGUGAACGCUGGCGGUAGGCCUAACACAUGCAAGUCGAACGGCAGCACAGUAAGAGCUUGCUAUUACGGGUGGCGAGUGGAGGACGGGUGAGGAAUACAUCGGAAUCUACUUUUUCGUGGGGGAUAACGUAGGGAAACUUACGCUAAUACCGCAUACGACCUACGGGUGAAAGCAGGGGAUCUUCGGACCUUGCGCGAUUGAAUGAGCCGAUGUCGGAUUAGCUAGUUGGCGGGGUAAAGGCCCACCAAGGCGACGAUCCGUAGGUGGUCUGAGAGGAUGAUCAGCCACACUAGAUUUGAGACACGAUACGGACUCCUACGGGAGGCAGCAGUGGGGAAAAUUGGACAAUGGGCGAUAGCCUGAUCCAGCCAUACCGCGUGGGUGAAGAAGGCCUUAGGGUUGUGAAGCCCUUUUGUUGGGAAAGAAAAGCAGCAGGUUAAUACCCCGCUGUUCUGACGGUACCCAAAGAAUAAGCACCGGCUAACUUCGUG